CAUAGGUUAAUGAGGCGAACCGGGGGAACUGAAACAUCUAAGUACCCCGAGGAAAAGAAAUCAACCGAGAUUCCCCCAGUAGCGGCGAGCGAACGGGGAGGAGCCCAGAGCCUGAAUCAGUGUGUGUGUUAGUGGAAGCGUCUGGAAAGGCGCGCGAUACAGGGUGACAGCCCCGUACACAAAAAUGCACAUGCUGUGAGCUCGAUGAGUAGGGCGGGACACGUGGUAUCCUGUCUGAAUAUGGGGGGACCAUCCUCCAAGGCUAAAUACUCCUGACUGACCGAUAGUGAACCAGUACCGUGAGGGAAAGGCGAAAAGAACCCCGGCGAGGGGAGUGAAAAAGAACCUGAAACCGUGUACGUACAAGCAGUGGGAGCCUCUUAAUGGGGUGACUGCGUACCUUUUGUAUAAUGGGUCAGCGACUUAUAUUCUGUAGCAAGGUUAACCGAAUAGGGGAGCCGAAGGGAAACCGAGUCUUAACUGGGCGUUAAGUUGCAGGGUAUAGACCCGAAACCCGGUGAUCUAGCCAUGGGCAGGUUGAAGGUUGGGUAACACUAACUGGAGGACCGAACCGACUAAUGUUGAAAAAUUAGCGGAUGACUUGUGGCUGGGGGUGAAAGGCCAAUCAAACCGGGAGAUAGCUGGUUCUCCCCGAAAGCUAUUUAGGUAGCGCCUCGUGAAUUCAUCUCCGGGGGUAGAGCACUGUUUCGGCAAGGGGGUCAUCCCGACUUACCAACCCGAUGCAAACUGCGAAUACCGGAGAAUGUUAUCACGGGAGACACACGGCGGGUGCUAACGUCCGUCGUGAAGAGGGAAACAACCCAGACCGCCAGCUAAGGUCCCAAAGUCAUGGUUAAGUGGGAAACGAUGUGGGAAGGCCCAGACAGCCAGGAUGUUGGCUUAGAAGCAGCCAUCAUUUAAAGAAAGCGUAAUAGCUCACUGGUCGAGUCGGCCUGCGCGGAAGAUGUAACGGGGCUAAACCAUGCACCGAAGCUGCGGCAGCGACACUAUGUGUUGUUGGGUAGGGGAGCGUUCUGUAAGCCUGUGAAGGUGGCCUGUGAGGGUUGCUGGAGGUAUCAGAAGUGCGAAUGCUGACAUAAGUAACGAUAAAGCGGGUGAAAAGCCCGCUCGCCGGAAGACCAAGGGUUCCUGUCCAACGUUAAUCGGGGCAGGGUGAGUCGACCCCUAAGGCGAGGCCGAAAGGCGUAGUCGAUGGGAAACAGGUUAAUAUUCCUGUACUUGGUGUUACUGCGAAGGGGGGACGGAGAAGGCUAUGUUGGCCGGGCGACGGUUGUCCCGGUUUAAGCGUGUAGGCUGGUUUUCCAGGCAAAUCCGGAAAACCAAGGCUGAGGCGUGAUGACGAGGCACUACGGUGCUGAAGUGACAAAUGCCCUGCUUCCAGGAAAAGCCUCUAAGCAUCAGGUAACAUCAAAUCGUACCCCAAACCGACACAGGUGGUCAGGUAGAGAAUACCAAGGCGCUUGAGAGAACUCGGGUGAAGGAACUAGGCAAAAUGGUGCCGUAACUUCGGGAGAAGGCACGCUGAUAUGUAGGUGAAGCGACUUGCUCGUGGAGCUGAAAUCAGUCGAAGAUACCAGCUGGCUGCAACUGUUUAUUAAAAACACAGCACUGUGCAAACACGAAAGUGGACGUAUACGGUGUGACGCCUGCCCGGUGCCGGAAGGUUAAUUGAUGGGGUUAGCGGUAACGCGAAGCUCUUGAUCGAAGCCCCGGUAAACGGCGGCCGUAACUAUAACGGUCCUAAGGUAGCGAAAUUCCUUGUCGGGUAAGUUCCGACCUGCACGAAUGGCGUAAUGAUGGCCAGGCUGUCUCCACCCGAGACUCAGUGAAAUUGAACUCGCUGUGAAGAUGCAGUGUACCCGCGGCAAGACGGAAAGACCCCGUGAACCUUUACUAUAGCUUGACACUGAACAUUGAGCCUUGAUGUGUAGGAUAGGUGGGAGGCUUUGAAGUGUGGACGCCAGUCUGCAUGGAGCCGACCUUGAAAUACCACCCUUUAAUGUUUGAUGUUCUAACGUUGGCCCCUAAUCGGGGUUGCGGACAGUGUCUGGUGGGUAGUUUGACUGGGGCGGUCUCCUCCUAAAGAGUAACGGAGGAGCACGAAGGUUGGCUAAUCCUGGUCGGACAUCAGGAGGUUAGUGCAAUGGCAUAAGCCAGCUUGACUGCGAGCGUGACGGCGCGAGCAGGUGCGAAAGCAGGUCAUAGUGAUCCGGUGGUUCUGAAUGGAAGGGCCAUCGCUCAACGGAUAAAAGGUAC
rnacentral:rRNA from 1 species